CACAUGAUUGUAAAUUUUUUUACUUAUGUAAAUUAAUGAUUUUUGGUAAGGGAAGACGUAGGAAUAGGUAGGGGAACAUCAUUUACACGACGAGUCAAAUGGCCAGUGUCAGAGGGUAGUUUGGGAAUUUUGUGAAUAAGAGCAGCUGUUUCUAAGAUAAAGAGUGAAAAAAGAGUUAGGAUUUUUUCAGAAAUGAAAAGGGGUUUGCAAGAAUCUCUUAACUUAGCAGAACACAGAUUCCAUGUGGAUUCUCCUUAGCCCAUAAGUGAUUGUUAUGGAAGUUUCGUAUGCAAUGUCUUCCAAAAGUAGCCUCGUCAGUAAACAAAAUACCAUUUAAAAAAUUAGGAAUUUGCGCGAUUUGAUGAAGAAUCCAUUGGCAAA